GACGAACGCUGGCGGCGUGCUUAACACAUGCAAGUCGAACGGAAAGGCCCUGCUUUUGUGGGGUGCUCGAGUGGCGAACGGGUGAGUAACACGUGAGUAACCUGCCCUUGUCUUUGGGAUAACUUCAGGAAACUGGGGCUAAUACCGGAUAGGAGCUCCUGCUGCACGGUGGGGGUUGGUAAGUUUCGGCGGUUGUGGAUGGACUCGCGGCUUAUCAGCUUGUUGGGGGGGUAGUGGCUUACCAAGGCUUUGACGGGUAGCCGGCCUGAGCGGGUGGCCGGCCACAUUGGGACUGAGAGACGGCCCAGACUCCUACGGGAGGCAGCAGUGGGGAAUAUUGCACAGUGGGCGGAAGCCUGAUGCAGCAACGCCGCGUGCGGAAUGACGGCCUUCGGGUUGUAAACCGCUUUCGCCUGUGACGAAGCGUGAGUGACGGUAAUGGGUAAAGAAGCACCGGCUAACUACGUG
rnacentral:rRNA from 1 species